CCUACGGGAGGCAGCAGUCGAGAAUCAUUCACAAUGGGGGAAACCCUGAUGGUGCGACGCCGCGUGGGGGAAUGAAGGUCUUCGGAUUGUAAACCCCUGUCAUGUGGGAGCAAAUUAAAAAGAUAGUACCACAAGAGGAAGAGACGGCUAACUCUGUGCCAGCAGCCGCGGUAAUACAGAGGUCUCAAGCGUUGUUCGGAAUCACUGGGCGUAAAGCGUGCGUAGGCUGUUUCGUAAGUCGUGUGUGAAAGGCGCGGGCUCAACCCGCGGACGGAACAUGAUACUGCGAGACUAGAGUAAGGGAGGGGGAAGCGGAAUUCUCGGUGUAGCAGUGAAAUGCGUAGAUAUCGAGAGGAACACUCGUGGCGAAGGCGGGUUCCUGGACAUUAACUGACGCUGAGGCACGAAGGCCAGGGGAGCGAAAGGGAUUAGAUACCCGAGUAGUC
rnacentral:rRNA from 1 species